rnacentral:rRNA from 1 species
AUACGUAGGGGGCGAGCGUUGUCCGGAAUGAUUGGGCGUAAAGGGCGCGUAGGCGGCCCGGUAAGUCUGGAGUGAAAGUCCUGUUUUUAAGAUGGGAAUUGCUUUGGAUACUGUCGGGCUUGAGUGCAGGAGAGGUAAGUGGAAUUCCCAGUGUAGCGGUGAAAUGCGUAGAGAUUGGGAGGAACACCAGUGGCGAAGGCGACUUACUGGACUGUAACUGACGCUGAGGCGCGAAAUCGUGGGGAGCAAACAGGAUUAGAUACCCGGGUAGUCCACGCCGUAAACGAUGAAUACUAGGUGUAGGGGGUAUCGACUCCCUCUGUGCCGCAGUUAACACAAUAAGUAUUCCGCCUGGGGAGUACGGCCGCAAGGUUGAAACUCAAAGGAAUUGACGGGG